GGAGGCAGGGACAAGGAGGGGCCCUGGCUGGCAGCCCCCAAGGAGGCUGGGGAGGCCUCCAAGACCACAAGGGAGGAGGAGGAGGAGGAGGAGGCGUCCCCAAGAGCCCCUGACCUCCAUUGCAUCGCCUGCAAAGCCAUGCCCAGGACCAGCAUCGCCACAGACCCAACCGAGGCAAUGAGGAAGCAAGAGAAACAGUCCCAGAAGCCCCAGACUUGGGUCGGAGUGGGGAUCGCAGUCAAAAAAGACAGGAGCAGGUUUCGGCAUUCAGGAGAGAUGAAAGGGCACCUUUGAAGCCUGCUGCCAGUGAAGCAGAAAUGGCAAGGAAUGGUGCCAGUGCUGAUGGCAUGCACUUGCUGGAAUAAAGCCAGGAAUUGAGCAUCCACAGAUGUCUUGGAAUAAACACCAGCAGAUACCAAGGGCCCACUGUACCUGAUGGGCUACCACAUAGAUCAGGAGAAAAUGUACUGUGAAAAAGAAACCAGAUCCAGCCAGUGCUGACCCUGGAACUUCUUACUGCUUCAGAAAUGUUACAGGAUCAAUUGGAGUGUGCAUGUCAACCCAUCAUUCAAGCCUGACCAAAGCAUUUAACUACUUUAGAGGCUUAUCCAAAUAUACAAGGUAUAUAAAUAUACAUACUAUCAGAACCAUAAUUCAAGCAAGAUUAUAUUCCUAUAGCAGCAUCAGUUUUUAUUAUUCAUGGUUAAUUCCAGCUUUUCACCAUCCAACAGUAGAAAAAUACUUUUGUUUGGUUUACAGCAGAAUCAUUUUGUAGUACAUAAUAUGCAGCCAUCUAUGAAAAGGCAAGCAGUGGCAAGUUUAAAAACAGUGCCUUAACUUACUCCAUAUUAUUUCAGUAUAGAUAGACUAAACCUGCUUUGUUCUGGUUGUUGCAGAAUAUCAGAUCACUGAAACAUGUUGUGUAAGCAUGUAUUCUUACAUAAAGACAAACCCUUGUGGCUCACAAAACUAGCCAGUGCUAAGUGCAUAAUAAUUCAUGAUGGGUAGAAAUUUUCCAUGGCAAAACACUGUAAAUUGGUAAUAUAAUUCCAGUUCUUUGUGGGCAUGAAUUGUUUUGAAUAUGAUAAAUUUCCUACUUUCCAAGAGCUGACUGGUUCAUGAAAUAUCUCAAAAAACCCCAUUACAUAUUAUGUAAGCUAUUUGUUUGGUCCUAGGAUAAAUUGUUAACAAGGAAGACAUUAAGACAAUGAAAUAUAAGGAGUCUGACUCCAAGGACUAUAUAAAACAAAUAUACUCUGUUUUAAUAAGUCAAGUAUUUAAUACAUGGCAGGUACAUCUUACGUAAGAGUGAAUUGCCUCAUGUUUAGACCAGAAUUGGUACAAAUUCCAAAUAGCUCAUAUAUUCACUCUGUAGUGAUUAUCUAGUCGCCAGGUGUAGUGGUAACAGUCAUAAGCAGAGAACUGAGAAAAGCACAUUUAAGAUAGUUUUUUUCUUAAAGUUAUAAAAAGUUAUUAUUUCUGUAAGUUUCUUAAACUUACUUUAAAAAUGAUUUUUUUUCACCUCCAAGCAAGUCAGACUUAAAAAAAUGCAGCAGCACGCACUCACACUCAAAGAAAACAUGCAAACAAUAGCUGGUAAAAAUCCUGCAUAAAUCUGUGCACUCUUUCUGCUAAGUGCCAGCUUUGAACACCAAACAUUUUCCAGUGCAUUGGCUGCUGAUCUGUAGGGGAGAAUAGGAAAAAAAAAUGAUCUACUAGUAUCUCCUUAGGAAUUUGUGGCAAAAGUCUCAAUUAUAAUUAAAAAUUUAGAAGUACAAACAGAAUACAAUAAAAUGUCGGGUUAUAGUGACGAAAGAAAUGUUAACCACUACCCUGUGCAAUACACUUAAAAAAAACUAGACAAACAAUCUUGGAUUUUAUUAAUACACCCUUUUUUAAAGUUUUUAUUUCCGAAAGCAGCUCUUUAUGAAAAUCACAAGCAGUUCCUGAGUAACUGCAGUAAACAGUGUCUUUUAAAAUAUAUAUAUGUAUGUAUGUGUCACUUAACUCUUCUCUGGUUUGGUUCCUUUAAAUUCCCUAGUUUUCAAGUUUGUUCUCUGUUCCUUUCUCCAAAAGUGUGCAAUUACAGUUAGCAUCAUUUUCAGGAGUCCACAUGAUGCUGUAUUCCCCUGCAAUGUCUGUAAGAGCUACACACUGGGUAGCUGUGUUCAUACAGGUAUUGCAAACUUUUUCCCACGCAGAAACUUUGUCAUCACUGGGCCUUCACGUUUUCUUCAGCAUACGGCGAGAUUGCCAUGUGUGGAAUUUAUUAUAGGCUGUUUGCAGCAUCUCUUCUAUAUGACUUACCAGCUGAAAGAGACACAACAGCUGUUACAGUUAUCAGGAAAAAUACUGUUCAUCAGUAUUCAAGACCAAUAUUCCAACUGUGAUGGUAGGAAAAAGCAAAAAUGUGUUUAAACAGAAAAGAGUUUAGUGGUAUUAGACAUAAUGAACCUAUAAACUAGGAUCAAAGAUUUCCUUUUAAGACUAUUUUUUUAAAAAAUGUUUCAACUAUGUAACUAUUUUUAUUAGUCCAUAUGCACCACAGCCCAUAUGCAGCAUGAAAUGAAAAACAAGGCAUUUUAAAGAACUUGCACAAAAAGGGCAACCAAAUUCUUAAAUUGGCUUGUAGGUUCCCCUGAUUAAAUGGGAAUACAUAGAUUUAGCCCAAGUAUGAUGGUACAGUUUAGAGAUGCAACAAGACACGAUAGUGACCCCUAAAGUUAACACUGUAUUAACCAAGACAGACAGGAUAGUUUAAGCCCCCUCCCUCAUGCCACAUUUUGUGCAGAAUUCAACCAGAAACAAAUCUUCAAGGUAGGCAUUAGACACUUCACCACAAAAACAAGGCUGUCAUUAAACAAUGCCCCUGAGUUUCAGCCACCUCUCAUGCACCUUAAAACCUCCCAGACAAAUGUCUUAUUUAAGACUUUUCGUCUCUCUUUUUUUGGAGCUACUUGCAACAAGUGUUCUAACUCAUAAGAAUGUGUGUUUUCUGGCUCUGAGUGUUGUUGGACUUUCACAAAAAUAAGCAGGCUCUUUAUAAUUUUCUGCAACUAGUGUUCGCCUGCAUUUCCUAGACCCCCUUUGUUGUUGUUGGGACUUGAGCCUCCACAGGCUCAUUCAUUUUGCCAAUAUUCUUUCUUAAUUUUUAAAGGCCAUUUGAAUUAUAGGGGCAAUAAAAUGUACUACCUUAAAUUCUUACAGUAUGUAAAAUAAAAGGAUGGGACUUGAUAUCUUACAUUUGUGCUUAAAUACUGUCUUCGAAUUUUGUCUUGGAAUGGACAAAGUUUUGUAACUUGAAAUCUUUCCAAAUUACUCCUCAUUUUCACAACCUGAAAGGAGAAAAUAUCAAAUGAUUAAAUGAGGCUCAUCUGCUUUAUGUACAUCUCUUCAAGCUUAUAUGUGAUUUCAUGUAUUUAUUGUAAAUACUAAAUCUUUUACUAAAAUGGAGUCAUGUAUUAUUUUCUUGUUAAGAUUUUUAGAAGUGUUUUUGAAAAGUUGCAUGACAACUUUAAACAGUAUGCCUGUCUAGAGCAAAACACAUGCUGAAACUAUUUUGACAUUGUAUUCCAUGAUUUUCUACAUUUUCAAAACACCUUUUAAAAUCCAAGUAGCAAGUAUCACCUUUUGAAAUCUAAAAAAUUGCUGGAUUAGAAAACCACAUCAGGCAGUACUAAAUUUAUUCCAACUGUUAAGUUCUCAGUCUACUCUAUAAACAUCCCUGCAUGAAAGUUUUCCUUCUAAUCACCAACAGAACUUUUACAUGUGAUAUUUAAUUCAUUAGAAAAAGCAGUUCUACUGUUAGUAAGUGUUUCCAGCAUAUAAUGCUGCAAUGUCCAUUAUGAUGUGUUUAUGUGUGUCUGUUGAAGUUGACUAUCAACUCAUGGCGACAUCAUGAAUUUCAUACAGUUUUCUUAUCCAGGGAAUAAUCAGAGGUGGCUUUGCUAAUUUUUUAUGCUGCUAAGUGAAGUCUUACUGCAGACCCUGCCUACCUUUUCUUCUAGGAAUGGUGUGUUAACAGGAAAGCAGGACCAGAAAUGUCGUAACAGUUCUCCAACUGCCACAUACAAGUGCUUCAGUUCAGACUGAACAUCAUUUGGCACCAUCUCUACAGUUAAGAAAAAAAAAUAUGGCAAGUUACAUUUAUAACGAAAUGUGUGAAAUCUCAGUUCACUUUAAAUGAUGGUAUUGGGCAGUGGACAUAUAAAUCUGCCAUGACUCUGAAAUGAGAGGGUCUGUCAGCAAAUCAACUUGAGUGUUUAACUGAGUUGGACAAGAAAUGAAUUCUGUCAUAAGUUGGAAUUUACAGUCAACAAGAUAUCUUAAUUUUUUUAAUCUCAAUUAAAAGUAUAAUUUAUGUACAAUGUUUACAUGGCCAAUUGAGACCACUUUGCAUAUUUAAUAAAGUAUGACCAAGCAAAACAUCAAA